rnacentral:rRNA from 1 species
AGAUUGAACGCUGGCGGCAUGCCUAACACAUGCAAGUCGAACGGGAGUAGCAAUACUCUAGUGGCGGACGGGUGAGGAAUACGUAGGAAUUUGCCCUUAAGUGGGGGAUAACCCGGGGAAACCCGGAUUAAUACCGCAUGACCUCGAAAGAGCAAAGUGGGGGAUCGCAAGACCUCACGCUUUUGGAGAAGCCUACGUCGGAUUAGCUAGUUGGUGAGGUAAUGGCUCACCAAGGCGACGAUCCGUAACUGGUCUGAGAGGAUGAUCAGUCACACCGGAACUGAGACACGGUCCGGACUCCUACGGGGAGGCAGCAGGUGGGGAAUAUUGGACAAUGGGGCGCAAGCCUGAUCCCAGCAAUGCCGCGUGUGUAGAAGAAGGUCCGUUCGG